GAUGAACGCUGGCGGCGUGCCUAAUACAUGCAAGUCGAGCGAACAGAUAAGGAGCUUGCUCCUUUAUCUUCACCGCCGAACGGUGAGUUAAAACUGGCUUACCCUCCUAUUAGUUUGGGUUUAUUUCCGGAAACCUGUUGCUAUUACGGGUAAUAAAUUUAACCGGAAGGUUUAAAUGUGGAAAGCCGCUUUGUUUUACACUUUAAGUUGAAGCGUGCCCUAUUAGUUAGUUGGUAAGGUAACGGCUUACCAAGGCAACGAUAUGUAGUCGAACUGAAAGGGUGAUCCGCCACACUGGAACUGAGACACGGUCCAGACUCCUACGGGAGGCAGCAGUAGGGAAUCUUACGCAAUGGGCGAAAGCCUGACGGAGCAAAGCCGCGUGAGUGAUGAAGGUCUUCGGAUCGUAAAACUCUGUUAUCAGGGAAGAACAAAUGUGUAAGUAACUGUGCACAUCUUGACGGUACCUGAUCAGAAAGCCACGGCUAACUACGUG
rnacentral:rRNA from 1 species